CCUACGGGUGGCAGCAGUGGGGGAUAUUGCACAAUGGGGGAAACCCUGAUGCAGCGACGCCGCGUGUGGGAAGACGGUCCUCUGGAUUGUAAACCACUGUCUCCAGGGACGAAGAUGACGGUACCUGGGGAGGAAGAUCCGGCUAACUACGUGCCAGCAGCCGCGGUAAUACGUAGGGAGCGAGCGUUGCCCGGAAUUACUGGGGGUAAAGGGAGCGUAGGCGGGACUGCAAGUUGGGUGUAAAAUCUACCGGCCAAACCGGUAGGCGCACUCGAAACUGGAGUUCUUGAGUGAAGUAGAGGUAGGGGGAAGUCCUGGUGUAGCGGUGGAAUGCGUAGAUAUUAGGAGGAACACCAGUGGCGAAGGCGGUCUGCUGGGCUUUUACUGACGCUGAGGCUCGAAAGUGUGGGGAGCAAACAGGAUUAGAUACCCUAGUAGUC
rnacentral:rRNA from 1 species